UGGGAUGACUGCGACGGAGAGCGUGGAUCCCUGGGAAGAAGACGUCCGGAGCGUCGGGGACACCCCGGGGAUAUGGCGACAGCGAUGGAGCGACAUCCAGGGCAGCAGUGACGGGUCCGGAGCGGUGGGGACACUUGGCGGGAAGCAAAUAAGACCCAUUUGUCUUGUGCUGCCUUCAUAUUUAGGAAAAGGAAAAUCCCAGGAUCUGAAAAAAAGAAUUGUGGCAAGCAAACAAAAAUAGAAGAAAAAAAAGCA